rnacentral:rRNA from 1 species
UUAUACAAUGAAGAGUUUGAUCCUGGCUCAGGAUGAACGCUAGCGGCAGGCCUAACACAUGCAAGUCGAACGGUAACAUAGAUUGCUUGCAAUCUGAUGACGAGUGGCGCACGGGUGCGUAACGCGUAUGCAAUCUACCUUUUACAGGAGAAUAGCCCAGAGAAAUUUGGAAUAAUNCUCCAUAAUAUCAUUUAUCAGCAUUGNUUUNUGAUUAAAGCUCCGGCGGUAAAAGAUGAGCAUGCGUUCUAUUAGCUAGUAGGUGAGGUAACGGCUCACCUAGGCUACGAUAGAUAGGGGCCCUGAGAGGGGGACCCCCCACACUGGUACUGAGACACGGACCAGACUCCUACGGGAGGCAGCAGUGAGGAAUAUUGGACAAUGGACGAAAGU